rnacentral:pre_miRNA from 1 species
UCUCAUGGAUGAGCAAAAAGAGUGGUUUCCUGACAUGGAAGCUACUCCUGGUGAAGAUGCUGUAAA